rnacentral:lncRNA from 1 species
UUAGGACUACUGAUUGUUUGGGGACAUCCGAAAUCACUCAGGAUUGUGGUGACCAGUUGAACAGAGAUAUGCCAAAAGCAGGCAGUGAUUUAUAUCCCUGCAGAAGGAGUCUCGCCCUGUCACCAGGCUGGAGUGCGAUGGUGCAAUCUCUGCUCACUGCAACUUCCACCUCCCGGGUUCAAAUUUCUCCUGCCUCAGCCUCCUAAGUGGCUGGGACUACAGGUGCCUGCCGCCAUGCCUGGCUAAUUUUUUGUAUUUUAGUAGAGAUGGGGUUUAGGCUGGUCUCGAACUCCUGAGCUCAGGCAAUCUGCCCUCCUGAGCUCAGGCAAUCUGCCUGCCUGGGCCUCCCAAAGUGCUAGGAUUACAGGCAUGAGCCACCGCCCUCAGCCACUAUCUUAUUUUUUAGCCUAUCUGAAUUAAAAACAUAAAGUCUUCUCUAUGUAUGUUGAUGAUAAACUUUGGGUUUCAAGGAAAAGAGUCACUCAGGCAACUUCCAAGAAUGGGAGGGGAGAAGGGGUUGUUAUAGGAUACAGUGGAAAUAAAUCUGGGAGGAAUCUCAAUCAUGUUCCAAGAGCUUGCAGGGGCCCAGAGAAAUUCUCACAAUGAGGCCUCACAGGAAAAGCAAGAACACCGACAGCAGGAAAGCUUGGAGGCUAAGAGUUCCCUUGGAAGUUGAACUACUGCCUGAGAAUAUUAAAACAAAAACAGAAACACGUAAAUAGCCAGCCCUGAAACGAGCCUCUCAACUUCUGAUAGGUUAUAUUUACAUUUAUGUACUUUCCU